GUCUGUGUGGCUCAGUUGGUAGAGCAUGGUGUUUGCAACGCCAGGGUUGUGGGUUCAAUUCCCACGGGGGACC
rnacentral:tRNA from 1 species